GGAGGGCUGGCAGAGCGGUUGAAUGCACCAGUCUUGAAAACUGGCAAGGGUUCGCGCCCUUCGUGAGUUCGAAUCUCACGCCCUCCACCA
rnacentral:tRNA from 1 species